AGUUUACUAGAACUAUCAUACAGGUGCUGCACGGCUGUCGUCAGCUCGUGUCGUGAGAUGUUGGGUUAAGUCCCGCAACGAGCGCAACCCUCGUGUUUAGUUACUAACAGUUCGGCUGAGGACUCUAAACAGACUGCCUGGGCAACCAGGAGGAAGGUGAGGACGACGUCAAGUCAUCAUGGCCCUUACGGCCAGGGCUACACACGUGCUACAAUGGGGUAUACAAAGAGCAGCGAUACCGUAAGGUGGAGCAAAUCUCAUAAAAUAUCUCCCAGUUCGGAUUGAAGUCUGCAACUCGACUUCAUGAAGUUGGAAUCGCUAGUAAUCGUAAAUCAGCAAUGUUACGGUGAAUACGUUCCGGGGUCUUGUACUCACCGUCCGUCACACCAUGGGAAUUGAAUUCAUUCGAAGCGGGGAUGCUAAAAUAGCUACCUUCCACAGUGGAUUUAGUAACUAGGGUGAAGUCGUAACAAGGUA
rnacentral:rRNA from 1 species